UUCUUGCGCGAGCAUGACGGAGCAUACCGCGUGAGGGAAGACGGCCUAUGGGUUGUAAACCUCUUUUUUCAGGGAGGAAUAAAUGACCUGUACCUGAAGAAUAACCUUCCGCUAAAUCCGUGCCCGCCGCCGCGGUAAGACGGAGGAUGCAAGUGUUUUCCGGAAUCACUGGGCGUAAAGCGUCUGUAGGUGGUUUAAAAAGUCCACUGUUAAAUCUUGAGGCCCCACCUCAAAAUCCCCCUCGAAACUAUUAGACUAUGGUUUAGUAAGGGUUAAGGGAAUUUCCAGUGGAGCGGUGAAAUGCUUAAAGUUUGGAAAGAACACCCAUGGACAAAGGACUUUACUGGGCUAUUACUGGCACUCAGAAACCAAAGCUAGGGUACCAAAAGGGAAUAAAUACCCCCGUAAACAAGAUUAGAUACCCCCUCA
rnacentral:rRNA from 1 species